rnacentral:rRNA from 1 species
UACAGAGGGGGCAAGCGUUGUUCGGAAUUACUGGGCGUAAAGGGCGCGUAGGCGGCCUGUUAAGUCGAACGUGAAAUCCCCGGGCUCAACCCGGGAACUGCGUCCGAUACUGGCAGGCUUGAAUCCGGGAGAGGGAUGCGGAAUUCCAGGUGUAGCGGUGAAAUGCGUAGAUAUCGUGAGGAACACCGGUGGCGAAGGCGGCAUCCUGGACCGACACUGACGCUGAUGAGCGAAAGCCAGGGGAGCAAACGGG